rnacentral:lncRNA from 1 species
UACAUUUUAUCAAUCUAUUAGGAUAGGAGAAAGAGUCAUUGUCUGCUGAUAUUGCACAAUUUCUGCCAAAAAGUGAUUGAGAAGAGUGAAUGGUCUGUUUUCUUAUAAUUAAAACAUACGACAGAGCAUUUCAUGCCAGAGUUCAAUUUGCAAACACAGCAUAAACUCUGUGAGCACAAGCAGGAAGAAAAGCAUAAUUUUAUCUAAAGCGAGUCAGUGCUGUUUCUCAAGCAAUUUGCAAGGGUUAUAAACCUUUAAAAUCCUCAGCAAGAUUGGCUGAAACAUAUUAGCCAUUAAAAAUUUCUCCAUUACAAAUGGAUUCAUUAUUAGAUUGCACAACACUUGCUCUAUAGCAUUCUAUAAUUCAGUGGCACAGAGGAUGAUAAUAUAGAGCCAGUAUGUUAGAUGCAAAUUUUCAUUUGAUAACUCCACACCAUAACAACUUAAAUUUACAUGCAGUUGAAAGCAGACUGCAGGUUACUUGAAAAAUACAAUGAUCCCUAAUAACAUUCACUUCUUAAUAAACUUGGAGGAAAGAAAGGAUGGAAUAUCUUCCAUUGCUGUUUCCUGUUACAUAGAAUUAUCACUUAAUAAUUAUCUCUCAAUAAUUAUCAGGUAAUAGAAGCCUCAUGCUGGCAUCAUUUCCUUUUCCAACACAGGUAUCAAAUAUUGAUUUCCUCCUUGCUAAAUUACAAUCACUUUCUAGUCCCUUGUUCCAGAAGUCUACAUUUUACUAAACUUCAGACACAUUAUUUAUUUACAGUUCACCCCUUCAUUCUCCAUCCUAUGUAUAUUUCUUCAUGGAGACAGGUACAGGUCAAGGCUAUCAGAGAUUCAAAUCACAGAAUCCCCUGACUCCAACUCUCACACCACAAAUGAUAGUUGGAUCUUAAUUUUGCUUCCUUGUUAGCUUGACUGCAAGAAGCCAAAGAUGAGAUCUGCCAACAUGAGCCUUCUGACCCUCUUCCCAGUGGCAUUGCUUUCUGUGAAUUCAGAAAUGGAAAUGCA